UGAAGAUGAGCCUUUUGUGGAACAAGUCAAAGAAAGGUGGCCAGCCUUGUUCACAGAACAGCAGAUUGAAGCAGAAUUUGCUCGGCUUACAUCCGUUGACCUGAAGAGCUCCUUCUUCUCUGGGCUGGACCAGUACCUGACAAGGUUCCUUGAGCUGUACAAAGCCAAGAGUAGCAUCGUGGGAUUGACCAGGCUGAUGAGCUGUCUUAAUGAUGAUAGCUCCACACAAACAAAGAGGACCAUUGUUCUACUGGGCCUUCCCCACUUCCUUAAAGAAGAUCCCUCACGUGUAUUUAAGACAAUACAGGCCACAGAUGAUCAAGCCACGGUCUGUAAGGGUAUGAAAGUCGGUGUUUUGAUGGUGAAAGACGGAGAAGAGGACAUUGCCACAGCAGUCGUCCUUGAGGAAGAAGUGAUCUUGCCCGAAGUGAAGGACGUCCCUCAUGCCAUUGCCUUGCUAAUGGGUCUUCUUUUUGCCCUCAACAUAGACUAUCCUAAAGAAUUGAGGUAUACAUUUGAAGUUACUCAGAAGGUCCUGAUGAACAUCGGUGGAGGGCAGUGUUCUUCACUUGUCCAUGGCUUGAGAAACAGACUCUUGCGAAAAACUUUGUAAUAUGGCAUAAGACGUUUGAGCUCAACAUGGUUAAACUCGGUUGGUUGAAUUGUGCAAAAAUCUUUUUUUGCUUGUUUGAUUUUUAACAAGGUUUUUACCCGAGUAAGAUAAGAAGACUGGUGUAAAAUGUUCUCUCUGCAUUGCCAAACGUCUAAAACUGUCAGAUUUAAUAAUAGCGGUAAAUUAUCUUUUGUAAUCACAAUGGAAUAAAAAAGACCCCAAGAAACAAUUAGGCAAUAUCUGAGAAGGAGGUAAGAAUGGCUGGUGGAAUAAAGUUUCCCUGACUUGUAAAUGUAAAUGCAUACACACACACACAAGCUUGAAUGUUUUGAAUGCUCAGCAUCUAACCCCAGUGUGAUAUGACCGAAGGAGGUCUGUAGUUCUGUGUGAACCAAAUGUUUGUCUGGUCAAUAAAAAAGUAGUGUGAUGCA